AGCGAACGCUGGCGGCAGGCUUAACACAUGCAAGUCGAGCGGGCAUCCUUGUGGUGUCAGCGGCAGACGGGUGAGUAACGCGUGGGAACGUGCCCUUCGGUUCGGAAUAACUCAGGGAAACUUGAGCUAAUACCGGAUACGUGCGAGAGCAGAAAGGUUUAUCUGCCGAAGGAUCGGCCCGCGUCUGAUUAGCUAGUUGGUGAGGUUACGGCUCACCAAGGCGACGAUCAGUAGCUGGUCUGAGAGGAUGAUCAGCCACACUGGGACUGAGACACGGCCCAGACUCCUACGGGAGGCAGCAGUGGGGAAUAUUGGACAAUGGGGGCAACCCUGAUCCAGCCAUGCCGCGUGAGUGAUGACGGCCUAAGGGUUGUAAAGCUCUUUUCUCCGGGACGAUAAUGACGGUACCGGAGGAAUAAGCCCCGGCUAACUUCG
rnacentral:rRNA from 1 species